UCCCGCCUGCCCACUGACCCUGUGUUUAACGGCCGCGGUAUUUUGACCGUGCAAAGGUAGCGCAAUCACUUGUUUCAUAAAUUGAAACCCGUAUGAAUGGCAAGACGAAGGCUUAACUGUCUCCCCUUUCAGGUCAGUGAAAUUGAUCUGCCCGUGAAGAAGCGGACAUACUCAUACAAGACGAGAAGACCCUUUGGAGCUUAAGACUUAAACCAACUGUGUAACAGACUAACUACCCUUAGCCAAACUAAACCUUGCACUGGCCUACGUCUUCGGUUGGGGCGACCACGGAGAAAAACAAAGCCUCCGCGCAGAAUGGGAAUAAUAUUCCUUAAACCAAGAGAGACAUCUCUAAGCCACAGAACAUCUGACUAAAACAGACCCGGGUACAAGACCCGAUUAACGAACCAAGUUACCCUAGGGAUAACAGCGCAAUCCCCUUCCAGAGCCCUUAUCGACAAGGGGGUUUACGACCUCGAUGUUGGAUCAGGACAUCCUAAUGGUGCAGCCGCUAUUAAGGGUUCGUUUGUU
rnacentral:rRNA from 1 species